GCUGUGGAGUGUAUAGAAGUGAGAAUGCCGGAAUGAGUAGCGCGAAUGCAGUGAGAAUCUGCAUGGCCGAAAGCCUCAGGUUUUUGGAGGAAGGUUCGUCCGCUCCAAGUUAGUCGGGAGCUAAGGUGAGGCCGGAAGGCGUAGCCGAUGCACAGACGGUAGAGAUUCCGUCACCACCGAAAGAGUUAAGCACAGGGACACAUUUGAAGUCUCAGAGCCGGGUGUUGGUUCCGGUAGAGAUCGAGGGAAGUUAGUACCGAAGUCUGGGAUGGAAGAUGGCGAGAAAAGCUGUGUGUAUUUCUGAGGUGCCCGUACCGCAAACCGACACAGGUAGGUAGGAAGAAGAUUCUAAGGCCAACGGGAGAAGGGUUGUUAAGGAACUCGGCAAAUUGACCCCGUAACUUCGGGAGAAGGGGUGCUCCAGAGAUGGAGCCGCAGAGAAUCGGCCCAAGCAACUGUUUACCAAAAACACAGGUUUGUGCUAAAUCGAAAGAUGACGUAUACGAGCUGACGCCUGCCCGGUGCUGGAAGGUUAAGAGGAGAUGUGCAAGCAUUGAAUCGAAGCCCCAGUGAACGGCGGCCGUAACUAUAACGGUCCUAAGGUAGCGAAAUUCCUUGUCAGGUAAGUUCUGACCCGCAUGAAAGGCGUAAUGAUUUGGGCACUGUCUCAACAGCCCGCCCGGCGAAAUUGUAGUACCGGUGAAGAUGCCGGUUACCCGCGACAAGACGGAAAGACCCCAUGGAGCUUUACUGUAGCCUAAUAUUGGGUUUCGAUGUUGCAUGCACAGGAUAGAUGGGACACUGGGAAACAAUCGCUUUGGCGGUUGCGGAGUGGCCGUUGGGAUACCAUCCUUGCGAUAUUGGAAUUCUAACCUGCGGCUCUGAAUCGAGUCGGGGGACAUUGUUAGGUGGGCAGUUUGACUGGGGCGGUCGCCUCCUAAAAAGUAACGGAGGCGUUCAAAGGUUCGCUCAGCUUGAACGGAAAUCAAGCAAAAGAGUGCAAACGCAGAAGCGAGCCUAACUGCGAGACUGACGGGUCGAGCAGUAACGAAAGUUGGAGUUAGUGAUCCGGUGGUAUGUGAGUGGAAAUGCCAUCGCUCAACGGAUAAAAGUUACCCUGGGGAUAACAGGCUGAUCUCCCCCAAGAGUCCACAUCGACGGGGAGGUUUGGCACCUCGAUGUCGGCUCAUCGCAUCCUGGGGCUGUAUUCGGUCCCAAGGGUUUGGCUGUUCGCCAAUUAAAGCGGUACGCGAGCUGGGUUCAGAACGUCGUGAGACAGUUCGGUCCCUAUCUGUCGUGGGCGCAGGAUAUUUGAUGGGAGCUGUCCCUAGUACGAGAGGACCGGGACGGACGUACCUCUGGCGCACCAGUUGUUCCGCCAGGAGCAUAGCUGGGCAACUACGUACGGAUCGGAUAAACGCUGAAAGCAUCUAAGCGUGAAGCCGACCCAAAGAUAAGAUAUCCCACUGAUUUGAUCAGGUAAGACCCCUUGA
rnacentral:rRNA from 1 species